UACGUAGGGUGCGAGCGUUAAUCGGAAUUAUUGGGCGUAAAGAGCGUGUAGGCGGUUCGGUAAGUCUGUCGUGAAAUCCUGAGGCUCAACCUCGGACGUGCGAUGGAUACUGCCGGGCUAGAGGAUGGUAGAGGCGAGUGGAAUUCCCGGUGUAGCGGUGAAAUGCGCAGAUAUCAGGAAGAACACCCGUGGCGAAGGCGGCCCUCUGGGACGGUACUGACGCUGAGACGCGAAAGCGUGGGGAGCAAACAGG
rnacentral:rRNA from 1 species